ACCACUCGGCCACGGAUGACCCUCCAAUACUAUAGUCCUAAAGACUACUGAAAAAAUGUACAAAUAAAAUGUAAACACCAUUUAUUCAAAGUUACUGUUAGCUUUCUUAAAUAUAGUAGCAUUAACUGAGAACAAGUAAUGACACUGUCUAUUUCAGGUAUGACCACAAUUAGCAAUUCGUUAGAAUGCUCGCAGUUUCAUGCUGUCAUUAUAUGGGAUACAAACACGAAUGUGCAGGAAAUAAGUUUUAUGUACCACAGGCGCUUUUUAUACGCAUUAAUAUCUAAAAUGCCGAAGGGUUCAUAUAUAGUUUUGAAAACAACCGGCGAUGUUAACACCGAGCUUGAUUUUAGAAAGGACUCAGGAUGGACAAACGCGUUGGAUGGAAUCACGUUUUCAUUUACCGAAGAAGCAAUUCCAUACUCACUGCUGAGAAAAACUGUUCAAAAUGCCCUUGGUCGACACGAAACUGUUGAUAUGGAUAUAUAACUGUUCUUAUUCGUAAAUGAUAUGUCACGUUUAGACAACGAGGAGAAAGCUUUGGAAGCUCUAAUGAUAAUUCAAGAUCGGAUUGUGGAAUAAGUAUGUAUCUGAACAAGAGCAGAUGUUACAAAUGUGUGUACAUUUGUGGACGGAUCAAGAACACUGUGAGUCAGUUCUGCCUGAAUACCUGCCCAAAUUUCGAUCGUCACCUUGAUAUGCCAAAAGAUUGCCACUGUGAUAUGUUAGAUUGUGAGAACAGUUGCACGGACCCGUUGUUAUUUCAGCUGUUAAUCGUGUUGUUCACCGUUAUAUUAUUGGUACUUGGUGUGCCUUUAUCGUUGAUGAUGUUCAAACACUUUGAACCAUAUAAGGCACACUCUGGUGAAAAUGAAAAUGCAUCGAAACAGAACCAGGGCCGGAUGACACAAAAUACCAUUCCAAUACAACGAAUUAAGAAACGGUAUAAAUCUGAGACAACUGUCGCAAAGUGCAAGCCAUAAUUGGAUUGAAUUAAUAUCUGAUCUACAUUUUACUUAUAUACAAAGUAUUUGUGUAUCAUGAUUUGGUAAUCAUUAUAUUAUUUGCUCCUAAUAGUUAUUCUUUAAUACAUUGUUCCCAAUACGUGUUUUAGAAAAUGACUCUAUCUCCUAUUGUUUGCUUCCGAUAUAUGUCCUAGAAAAUUACACCAUUCUUUUGCUCCCAUUGUUUAUGGCGGUAAAAUUUCCAUGUUUCAAUGAUUUUUACAUGUUAAUUUGGCGGCAAUAGUUAAUAUAUAUAUUGGAUGUAAAAUAAAAGGAAGA
rnacentral:misc_RNA from 1 species